rnacentral:piRNA from 1 species
UGAACUGUCGACGUGUGCGUGCAAUGCGUCUA